rnacentral:sRNA from 1 species
GGCCUGUCUCGUGAGCUGUUUCCAUCUC